rnacentral:rRNA from 1 species
CCUACGGGAGGCAGCAGUGAGGAAUAUUGGUCAAUGGGCGGGAGCCUGAACCAGCCAAGCCGCGUGAGGGAAGAAGGUACAGCGUAUCGUAAACCUCUUUUGUCAGGGAACAAAGGCGGGGACUAGUCCCCGGAUGAGGGUACCUGAAGAAAAAGCAUCGGCUAACACCGUGCCAGCCGCCGCGGUAAUACGGAGGAUGCGAGCGUUAUCCGGAUGUAUUGGGUUUAAAGGGUGGGCAGGGGGCCUGUUAAGUCAGCGGUAAAAGCCCGGGGCUCAACCCCGGCGAGCAGUUGAAACUGGCGGGCUGGAGUUGGAGAGAGGGACGCGGAACGCGCGGUGUAGCGGUGAAAUGCUUAGAUA